CGUAUCCUACGGGGCGCAGCAGUGGGGAAUAUUGCACAAUGGGGGAAACCCUGAUGCAGCGACGCCGCGUGAGUGAAGAAGUAUUUCGGUACGUAAAGCUCUAUCAGCAGGAAAGAUAAUGACGGUACCUGACUAAGAAGCCCCGGCUAACUACGUGCCAGCAGCCGCGGUAAUACGUAGGGGGCAAGCGUUAUCCGGAUUUACUGGGUGUAAAGGGAGCGUAGACGGCAGCGCAAGUCUGGAGUGAAAUGCCGGGGCUCAACCCCGGAACUGCUUUGGAAACUGUGCGGCUCGAGGGCGGGAGG
rnacentral:rRNA from 1 species